rnacentral:lncRNA from 1 species
UUUUUUUUUUUUCUUUCUUUUUAGAGCCAUACUCAGGGCUUAAGGUAGUUCAGAUCUGAGCCAUAUCUGCAACCUAUACCACAGCUCAAGGCAACAGCGGAUCCCUAACCCACUGAGCGAGGCCAGGGAUUGAAACUGCGUCCUCAUGGAGGAGACGAAAGCGAGGUGAAGUGGGGGUGGACCUCCAUCCCUUCCAGAAGUCCCCUGGGACACGUCUGAGCAGAUUGGCACGAUCCUAGCUAUAAGCCCAUGACCAAGACAAAAGGAGUGAACGAGUAUUUACUGUAAUAUAGCCUGGCCAAGGGCCUGAUGGGGCUGCCUGGGGCUCUGGCCUCCCAUGGCCCGUCUCUGGGAGGAGGAGGACUCCUGGGGAACCUGGCAGAGACUGACCACUCCCCCUGUGUGUGGGGAAGCAAGACCUACCCAGCUGGAAAAAGCCAGGCUUCUGUACUGAGAUGAUCCACAAAAAAUGGUGGAAAUGGUCCUUCGCGUUGUUUUUCACACCACUGCCCAAGCUGGACCCGUGUGCAGGCAUUGGUGAGUACAGGCUGACAGCCCAGGAACAGCCCUGGGUUCUAGACAAAGCCUGGGAGGAAGCGGGUUGCCUCCACCAGGAGGAUGCGGCCAACACCCGCUCCCCUGGGAUGCCCUGAACGGCUCCACAUCACACGUCAUCCAGACGCAACACCCUUGUUCAUCUCCAAUCCCUGCUUCCCAGCUUGGAAGCUGCUAACCAGUCUCCCAGGCCAGACACAUCCCCCCUCAGCUGGUACUACUCCCAGAUCUUUCCAGACCCCCACCUGGAUGGCAGCUUUGGGGCUCAGCAGCCAGACUUCAUGUCCACGGAGUCUGCAUUUCCUCCAUGAGGCUCCACCUUGGAGUAAUGGGCUUGGAGUCUCCUUCCCAAACCGGGGAGAGGCACAUGUCCAGGCAAACCUGGGGGGAAGGGAGCAAACCGGUUCCCCCUGCCAUGUCAUCUUGUCCCCACUGCCUUGCUCUCCCCUAGGGCCUCUCCCUGUUCACCUCUGCACCUGCCCUCCUCUGGGUGGGGCUGUGUCCCCUCAGGUGGCAUCUCCUUCUAGGGGUGGCUGCAGGGAGGAGAGGCCAGACCCCUUCAGGGUUUCUGUGAAGGAGGCCGUGGCCCUGAGGUGGGUCCUGGAUUCCCAGAGCCGCCAUUUUUGGUCCUGGGCUCCCACCCACGGGCCCUGCUGCAAUGCUGGGCUGGAGAGCACAGAGCUCAAACCCACAGCUUUGGCACAGUUGUCUGGGUUCCCACUCCUAGUCAUGGGUUUUAGGGAAACACUAAAUCCCUGAGCCUUGGUGUCCUCAUCUGUAAAAUGGCGUUAGUAGCACAAGCCACAGUCCCUUUCUAAAACCAUUGGUUCAUACUCCAGAAUUCAGAAAUUUUCAGCCUCACCAGGUGACAUGGUACAUCUACUCAAUUUAACACGACACCCACUGGUGUCUGAAAAUACCUUGUAGUGAAGCACAGUAAUCUUUCUGCAACUGCACUUUUGUUGUUGUUGUUGUUUAUUAAGUUAUUUUUAUUUUGUUCCCUGAUAGCUGGUUGACAGUGUUCUGUCAGUUUUCUACUGCACAGCAAGGUGACCCAAUUACACAUACAUAUAGGCACUCUUUUUUCUCACCUUAUCACGCUCCAUCAUAAGUUGCAGCUGUACUUCUGAACAUUCAUACCAAGUGAAAGAAAUAAAGACCAUGAAGUAUUUCAUAU